rnacentral:lncRNA from 1 species
AUUUUCAUUGGAAUAGAACAACAUUAACACAACAAUAACCUUUAAAUUUUUAUUUCAAUAGAACAACAAAAAAUUCAAAACAAAAUCUGGAUUUCAAUUGCAUAAAUCCUGUUUUCACUUUAAAUAUAAAACAUACUGUAUACUCAAAUAAACUAAUUCAAAAUAUGAAUAAAAAAACAAAACAACAUCAAAAAACAGUUACAAAAA